AUUGAACGCUGGCGGCAGGCCUAACACAUGCAAGUCGAACGAGUGGCGGACGGGUGAGUAAUGUCUGUGAAACUGCCUGAUGGAGGGGGAUAACUACUGGAAACGGUCGCUAAUACCGCAUACCAUCGGAUGUGCCCAGAUGGGAGUAGCUAGUAGGUGGGGGAACUGCUCACCGAGUCGACGAUCCCUAGCUGGUCUGAGAGGAUAACCAGACAAAGUGGAAAGGAGACACGGUCCAUAGUCCUACGUGAGGCAGCAGUGUGGAAGAUUGCACAAUGGGCGCAAGCCUGAGGCAGCCAUGCCGCGUGUAUGAAGAAGGCCUUCGGGUUGUAAAGUACUUUCAGCGGGGAGGCGUUACCCGCAGAAGAAUCACCGGCUAACUCCGUGCCAGCAGCCGCGGUAAGAC
rnacentral:rRNA from 1 species